AUAGCAAUUUGAUCUUAUCAUCCUUUCUUUAAUGUUCUAGCAAUAAGAAGACAAAUUCCACCUCUUCAAUUACCACCUUCACGGUUAAGAAAUGACUUGGGAUAAGACCAAGUUUUGUUUCAUCAUAUUCCUAUAAGAAUCAAAUUAUAGUUAUCAAGUGACUUAGUUACUCCUAUUUUCUUCCUCCUCUUGCAAGUCUUAGCAAUAAACUUACUACUUUCCAACCAUUAAAGAAAUACUGCAAUCACUGCCAUCCCUCUUCUCCUACUACCGCCUGACCUCUAUCAUCAUCAUUCAACCGCCGCCGCCCUGCCGGUGUGCGCUGCCUCCCCUGUACAACUGGAACAAUGCGAUCACGUAGUGGCGAGGAUUUUAAUUACCUUAAGAAGCUCAUUAGACAUUUAUGGUUUUAAGAGGAUGAUUUAUUAAUUUAAUUAGCAUGAGACUGAAGUAAAUUUAUAAUUAAAUAAGAAAUUCUAUUAUUGAAGUAGGAUUAAUGUCUGUACUGAAUAGAUAUCUAUACUUUAUGAAUUAUAAGGUUGUUAGGUAUGAAUGUUGCCUUGUAACUCUCAUUAGGGAGUUACGGCAGUGAUGUCUCGACCAAA